GAGGAUAUAGCUCAGUUGGUAGAGUGCUUGCCUCACAUGCAUAAGAUCCUGGGCUCAAUCCCCAGUACCACA
rnacentral:tRNA from 1 species